rfam:Echinostoma caproni strain Egypt genome assembly, scaffold: ECPE_scaffold0000600
GCACUGCUGACGAGUCCCAACCAGAACGAAAUAGCUGUCCAGUGC